rfam:Hordeum vulgare subsp. vulgare, WGS project CAJW01000000 data, contig: morex_contig_1592944
AGAAUACUCCCUCCGUCCCAAAAUUCUUGUCUUAAAUUUGUUCAGAUACGAAUGUAUCUAGUCAAGUUUUAGUAUUUAGAUACAUUUAUUUCUAGACAAAGCUAAGACAAGAAUUUUGGAACGCAGGAAAUAUAUA